GGAUUAGAUACCCUGGUAGUCCACGCCGUAAACGAUGUCGACUAGCCGUUGGGGUCCUUGAGGCUUUAGUGGCGCAGCUAACGCGAUAAGUCGACCGCCUGGGGAGUACGGCCGCAAGGUUAAAACUCAAAUGAAUUGACGGGGGCCCGCACAAGCGGUGGAGCAUGUGGUUUAAUUCGAAGCAACGCGAAGAACCUUACCAGGUCUUGACAUCCUCGGAACUUGGCAGAGAUGCCUUGGUGCCUUCGGGAACCGAGUGACAGGUGCUGCAUGGCUGUCGUCAGCUCGUGCCG
rnacentral:rRNA from 1 species